UUAUGAACAUGUGAUGGGAAGCAGCCCAGGAGCUGGAUGCCUGUUUCCAUGACAACAAGGAAAGGCUCGGCCACUGGGCAGCAUCAUGAACACUGAAACACAUGCUUUGGCUUCCUGACAUGCUGUGGAUGAUGAGAGGAGCAACUCUUCUGAAGGUUUCCUGAAUGCUUUUGACAUUAUUUUCACCAUAGCCUUCUUUGCCCUUCACUGGAAGAUCUAAUGUGCGCUCUUGUGGAUUCGGCACAAAGGCCAAACAACAGGAGUGAAAUGCAAUCAGCUUCAUCGAGCAGCUCAUUCGGCUCCAGCCAGACAGGAGUGAUACCGGACCACAAGCGCUUCACAAGGAGACCGACAUGGAUCUUUUAAAUCCCUAUCCUCAGUCUCUCCCUGCAAUGAAGGUUACAAAGAAAAGAUGAGUCACCGGAUCCUGAGGAUCAUUCCGCACUGCUGUCAUGUUCAGUGAACCCCGGUGAUUCACUCACAUCCCUCCUGCGGGUUUCACCCAUUCACUGAUGCUGCAGCCCUUCAACCCGCAUCACUGCUCACGAAACAUCACAGCAGGUAUACAGGGAAACCCUGCUUCAUCUGUACCAAGAAGAGAAGCAGAAAUGGACAGAAAAUGGGCCGUGUUACAUCAGAAGGCAAGAUGAUGUCAUUCCAUCGUUUUUUCUCCGAAUGUUUAAAUCCACAGAGUCCACACGGUUGGAGGAUGAUGUCUGGUUCAUCAAAGAUGCUCAUAUGAAACUGAUGGCAAUGCUUUGCAUUUGAGGACUGAUAUACACAUCAAAUAAUUGGGACUGAAACAGGAAUCUGAAGUGAAGUCACAUUGAGAGAAAAUAAAUAAACAUUUUGUGUGUCAUAUUUCACAUAUUUGUUGAUUUGUUGUUUCUGACUUAAUUAUUAAUUGCCGUUGAAAAAAGUUUGUUGGUAUAGGAAAUAUGAUUAUGGAAAGUAGCUCAACAACAGCAUUUAUUCAGUGUUGGAAAGAUGCACAAUGCUAAAAAUGAAUGGUCUGUCAACUGUAAAACAUUUUUGGUUAAAGAUGCUCUACUUUUCCAGAGAAAUCACUAUCAUAAGUUAUCAUAAUCUGAUGAAUUGCCGUUGCUUCUCAGUUGUAAGUCGUCUUGGAUAAAAGCAUCUGCUAAAUGUGUGAAUGAAAACUUUUGAAUCAAAGCAAAUAUUAUUUAUAAUUUAUAUGAAACUCUCAGUUCAUUUACCAAAAGCACAAUACCUACAACAUAGUUAAUAAACAUUAAUAACCCUGAUAAAUGAAAACUUUCACCAGAGUAAAUUUUUAUUAUUUUUUUGAAAGGCAUUAGCCAUUCUGCGUUAGUCAUUACUUAUUCUGUAAGAGAUAAAAAUGUCACCUGAGUUAUUAAGCAUGUUACAGUAUCAGACAUUUCCUUAAAGGGGCAGAUGUGGUCACCAUUAACCUUUCUGGAAAAGAGCAGCUUGGACGUUCAGCUAGGAAACUCCUGUUUUGUUUUAACACACAAAAAAAAAUGUUUGGAGUGACAUGAGGAUGAGUAAAUGACUAGCAAAACAGAGGGAGGCCUACAGUUUCCACUAAAAUUGACUUGAAAGACUGAAGCCAAUUAAAAUUAAUGUGAGCAAAAUUAUAUAUACAACAGUUUUCCAACCGCUUAAUUGGCUGGUACCGCAGCUGUCGAGUUUAAGAUUCAAAAAGGAAGCAGACCAUGUUUGCAAGUGAUUAAAGAAAUCCUUCCUUAUCCAUCCUUCAAAAUGAUGCCAUAAGCCUUCAAGAAAUCACUAGAAAAUCUUUUCAUGAGCUAAAAGCCUCAUUUAGGUUUUUAACCCUUAUAUUCAUAUUAAAGUACACAUUAGCACUAUUUGCACUACAAACCAGUAUGUUUAUAGUUAAGAGAAUAAAUUCAAAUAAUAUGAUAAUAAAUACCUUAAAAUAAGGUGGAUAAAUUAACAUUUCAAACACCCAUGGAAAUAUUAGGGUUUUCUGAAACAUACAGAAAUGCAUUUAAAGGUUCUCCGAGUGAACCAAACAAUCUACCAGCUGUUUCCUUUCAUUUCUUUUACUGAAUUUUCUGCAGUGUUUUGCUGGACUCAAACUGACCCAAAACUGCAACACGUUACUGGAUAAGUCACAUUUCUGUUUGAACAACUUAAAACUGACAUUUCGUGUAUUUGGAAACAAUGUCUAAAAGUAAAAA